CCCACGAUCCCCACCUCUUUUCUCCCUCUAUACUGAUCCCCUCCGCCCCACGCGCAACAGCCGCCGGCCACGACUCCCUGGCAACCGGCCUCCCAGCUCCGGUGAAGUGCCACGGCCCCUGCCUCCCACCUCCGGCUACGCACCACAGCCCCCGCCUCCCUCCUCCGGUUGACACGCCACAGCCUCCGCCUCCCACCUUCGGUGACGCGCCAUCCCCUGCCUUCCUCCUCCGGUGACGCUCCACGGCCCCCACCUCCCACCUCCGGCGGCCCGCCACGGCCCGGGCCUCCCACCUCUGGCGACGCGCCCUGCCCCGCCUCCCACCUCCAGCGGCCCGCCAUGCUCCCCGCUUCCCACGUCCGGCGACGCGCCACGGACCCACCUCCCACCCUCAGUGAACACCGACCGAAGGUAGAACCUCCCGCCGCAGGUCGCGGCCUCCCCGGGCUGCAGGUCGCGAACUCGACCUCGUCGCUACACAUAGCGAACCGUGGCCUCUGCCGCGUGUGGUCGUCCCCGUCCUGUUUCAAGCCCGUUUUCGGCCGCCCAUAGACUGAUUGAACUGACAAGCUUGAUCCCCUUCGACAGUAGCAGCUUCACCCCAGCGCGCCACCCACCGCGAUGCCGCCCCAGGCCGUUCACAACGGCCACUGCAGUCUGUUCACCACCGCCACCCGAGGCCGUUCAACAAUGCAUCGGAAGCAACCACCAACCCGACGUGCCCUCCGUUCACCGCUGCCACCCCAGAUCGUUCAACUACACAGUGCCAAGCCGUUCGAUGCCGCAGCUCGAGAGGGAUUUCGGGAGAGUGGAGACCUGGAAGAGCACUUUCAAGCGUUAUUGGCCAUGACAACAAAUGACCAAGAAGAGCACUUUCAAUAGUCCAGGAAGACAACGACAACAACAACAACGAGAAAAAUGCAAUGAUGCAUCAUGCUGACAUUGAUGAAAAGCUAUGAUUUUGUGCUCCUGUUUGUUAUUACGUCAAUGAGAAAUCGAUACUUCUUUUCUUUAGGUUUCAUGUUUUAAUUGGUGAGGGAUAAACAAAUUUUCCUAUUCAAGUGGAAGCUCCCAGUAUAUGAUGGAUGUGGGGGUUAUUUUUACAUUCACUGUUUGGUGCUUCUCUUUAUGUAAUGUUUUAUGUU